rnacentral:lncRNA from 1 species
UGUGUUGCUUGACGUGGCAAGUUCAAUUUAUAGCUCUAAGAGCAAGCUUUCAAUUAUUUUCGGCAUAUAUUCACUGAGUACUGAAGCAUCUUCGACUUUUGGGCCAUUUGGCCCUAUUUUUCUCUUUUUUUUGUUUUAUUUGAGUCGUCUAGGGGAGAAAAUAGGUAUUUAGGAGGAGAACGCUCGGAAAAGGGCAUAUGUGUGAAAUAUGGUCAGAAUGGGCAUUACCAGAACAAAACUAUACAAGCUGCCAGAAAUGAAACUCACCAGGAAGAGAGCUCGACAAAGCACCCCUCAGAACCAUUUGAGGCGCGGGAACCUCCGAAGUGUACCACCUGAUAUGAGGCCAACCGAAGGAAGAAG